rnacentral:lncRNA from 1 species
AGCUCUAUUUCAUGCCAAGAUUACUCAACACCCAGAAGGCAGAACAGCGACCUCUCUGUCUCCAUCUGCAGAAGCCAAGCAAGCGUGUGGGCCUCCGUAUGCAUCCUUUCUUUUAUUCACUUUCUAAAUGCUGUAACGGCUACCAUCUACCAGGUGGUCACAAACCAUCUCUAAAGUCAAUCUGAGGUUAACCCACUCGACUUGUAAGGGAUCCACCUAUACUGCUUCUGCACCUGUAAUAUGACUAAGGAGACGGCGGCUGCACACGUAGUUAACACUGAUUGUACUGUGACUCCGCCUUUCAGCAGCAGCUCUCCGGCUCUUUAGAGUCCUUUUGAGCCAAGCUGGACGUAAGGCAUAAAGGAGCUCUUUGCAAACGCCAGGAGGAAUUUCUUCAGGGUGAAGUUAACUUUCAAUCGGCUUCAUUCUAAGAGAAAUAUGUGAGGCAAACAAAAGGGAACUUUUUUUCUCAUCUUUUGCAUUUCAAGCAAAAACUAAUAAAAUUAGAUGUUUCCACCGUCAUGCUCAGUCUCGAAGCUGCCAGCAGAUCCCGCUUCUAACUUUUAACACAGGCACGCAGGAAAUCGGGAAAUCCCUGCAGUUCCCUCAGAAGCUACAGUAUCAGCAGUUCCUGAAGCGCAAACCAAAACCCAACAUCAUGU